UAGAGUUUAGAAGUAAACAAAUACCAAACAAGAGAUCAAUCUUGCAUGCUAAAUGAAUCAUAAUUAGCUAUGAGAUUUUGUUAUGGGAGUAUAUAUAUAUAUAUAUAUAUAUAUAUAGCUCACGGAAGAAGAGCUGCAUGAAGAAACAAAGAGAAAGAAAGUGAAGGCAUAUAUAUAUUAUAGAGAGCGAACAUACAGUUAAGUUCCUGCCAUGUUUUCGAUGCUUAGAACCCAGAAAGAAAGCUCAGGUACAGUUCCGAAAUCACAUUUUCGCAGAGAAAAAGACUUCCAAAGCGAGCUGGUAUUAUAUAACAAGUUCCUGUUCGGUGGCUUUUCUAUGUGAAAAUGUGACUCGGAAGUGUAACCCAUCUUGAUCUUCCACCAACACCCAAGUGAAUCAUAUAAUUCAUAGCAUUCAAAGAAAAUGAAAAAUUAAUAACUAGAGACACGUUUUUGCACACUCACCUAGUCAUUUAAUGAAUUCGCAUAUAUAUAGAGGUUUCAAGAUUCAAACGGGACAAAGGAGGAUAACUUUAUUAAGUGAUUCGCGUAUCCCCACAGUACACAACACACCGCAUGCAUGCACUUUGUUGUUUUAUUCACUCACUCACUACUAUCACACAACAGACACA
rnacentral:lncRNA from 1 species